rnacentral:rRNA from 1 species
UACGUAGGGGGCAAGCGUUGUCCGGAUUUAUUGGGCGUAAAGAGCGUGUAGGCGGCCAGGGAGGUCAGAUGUGAAAACUCGAGGCUCAACUUCGAGAGGUCGGUUGAAACCAUCUGGCUAGAGUCCGGAAGAGGAGAGUGGAAUUCCCGGUGUAGCGGUGAAAUGCGCAGAUAUCGGGAAUAACACCCGUGGCGAAGGCGGCUCUCUGGGACGGUACUGACCCUGAGACGCGAAAGCGUGGGGAGCGAACAGG